rnacentral:rRNA from 1 species
UUUCUUUGCGCCGACCUCAGAGCAUGUG